ACCAUGUUCCAGCAUGCUCUACCCACCAUGUUAAGUACUGGUGGGACAUUCACUAAUCUUAAAACUCUUGUAUUUUAUUUCCUUGGGACAUCCUACAUAUGUGCCAAAAAGUUCUUUCCACUAAACCCUUGGGGAUUAUGCAAAAGCAGUAGGACUGAGUCCUACGGCCUUUGGGGCAAUCCUUUGACUAAAAUACUCAGAGCACCUUGACAAGUAUUGGCAAUACAUGGAUCUGCUGCACCUCAUGGUUAAACAGAUGAGCUCCUGUAUUAAGUCAUUUCCUUGGAUACAGGAAAUCUAAGGUAGAGUAAGCCGUAUCUGAGGCAAACUAGCAAAUCAUAAUUGAAUCUAGUUCAUGACCAUGACACUGGAAUACUUAGAAACUAAAUUGGGAAACUACUAGGAUAAUAGUUGAAUCAAAACUCUUCUGAGUUUCCACCAAAAACUUAGUUUUAUUUGUUUUACUUAUGAAACAGUAAACCAGGUCCUAGUUUUAUUAUCUGCCCUUCAUCAAGACUGAGUGCCUGAGCAAUAGUGCCUGACUUUAAAAGUAGCCAUUGUGACAUGUACAAAUUUGUCGCGUGAUACCAACUUUUUAUAAAUACCUGGAUGAGACAAGGGUCUAGGAUCAGGACAAGUCAUGGGCAUCAAAAGACCUUCUUUCCUGGAAGCAUUUUGGCUCUGGGUAGACACGAGCACCACCAGCUCUUUGAGGGAGAUACAUUUGCAACGUGAGAGGGGAAGAUCAGGAGUUGCAGAAAGGCAACUGAGCUCCCCAGGCAGGACAGCUCUGCUGAGUCGUGAAAGACAAGGGCAGCUAACUCCUGCUGAGCUUGUGACCAUGCUGGCAACAUAUUUUCUCCAGAGCUGGAUGGGAACAGUGAACUAAGAUAAAAUUCUAAGCUAAUUGGAUCAGGCUCUAAAAAUCACUAAUAAAGCACAGUGCGCAGCCUCUUAUUGGAUUAUU
rnacentral:lncRNA from 1 species